UACGUAGGGUGCAAGCGUUGUCCGGAAUUAUUGGGCGUAAAGAGCUCGUAGGCGGUUUGUUGCGUCGGCUGUGAAAUCCCGAGGCUCAACCUCGGGUCUGCAGUCGAUACGAGCAAACUAGAGUGUUGCAGGGGAGACUGGAAUUCCUGGUGUAGCGGUGAAAUGCGCAGAUAUCAGGAGGAACACCCGUAGCGGAAGGCGGCACUCUGGGCCGGAACUGACGCUGGAGGAGCGAAAGCGUGGGGAGCGAACAGG
rnacentral:rRNA from 1 species